rnacentral:rRNA from 1 species
ACGGCUCAGUAACACGUGGACAACGUGCCCUUAAGUGGAGGAUAACCUCGGGAAAUUGAGGAUAAUACUCCAUAGAUCAUGGAAUCUGGAACGAUUCAUGGUUCAAAGUUCCGGCGCUUAAGGAUCGGUCUGCGGCCUAUCAGGUAGUAGUGGGUGUAACGUACCUACUAGCCUAUGACGGGUAUGGGCCUUGAGAGAGGGAGUCCAGAGUUGGAUUCUGAGACACGAAUCCAGGCCCUACGGGGCGCAGCAGUCGCGAAAACUUCACAAUGGGCGCAAGCCCGAUGAGGGAACUCCUAGUGCUAGCACUUUUGUGUUAGCUUUUCUUUAGCGUAGAUAACUAAAGGAAUAAGGGCUGGGUAAGACGGGUGCCAGCAGCCGCGGUAAUAC